rnacentral:rRNA from 1 species
CUGACAGCACUUGGAGGAUGUAUAGCGAAAGCUAGUUGCAUUAAAUUCGAUUAAUUCGAAGUUAAUGCAUCAUCGACUAUGUCGAAUAAAGUUCUAGGUAGAGUUAUGAUAAUGACAUUUUCUAUCUAUGUGUCUUGACCAAGUCACGUGCCAGCAGUCGCGGUAAUACGUGGAAGACUAGUGUUAUUCAUCUUUAAUAGGUUUAAAGGGUACUUAGACGGUAAAUUAAGCCCAGAUAAUACAAAGGGUACUAAUAUACUAGAGUUUUAUAAGAGGAGGGUGUGUACUAGUGGUGUAGAGAUGAAAUUCUGUCAUACCAUUAUGACAGGCAACGGCGAAAGCAACCUUUAUAAAAAAACUGACGUUAAAGGACGAAGGCUUUGUGUCACCAACAGGAUUAGAUACCCAAGCAGUCUUAGCAGACAAUUCUGAAUGCCAUAGAUAAGAAAUCUCUGGAUAAUAUGGAGUACAUUUGUUUUUCUUUUUUGAUCACUCAAAAAUGAAAGAGGAUGUAUAGAAAUAUUAUCUUUCUAUCUAGAAAAGGAUAUAUAAAUAUUAUCUAUCUAGAUAAGAUAUAUCUAAAUAUUAUAUCUAAUAAAAGGAUAUAUUUUUUGUCUAUAAAUGAAAGUGUAAGCAUUCCACCUCAAGAGUAAUGUGGCAACGCAGAAACUGAAAUCAUUAGACCGUUUCUGAAACCAGUAGUGAAGUAUGUUGUUUAAUUAGAUGGUCCGCAAAAAACCUUACCACAAUUUGUAUAUUAUUAGCUUAAUACAAGAGUUGCACGGCUGUCUUCAGUUAAUGUCGUGAGAUUUUGGUUAACUCCUUUAAAUUAACGUAAACCCUUACUUUAUUUUAUAUUAUAAAGUAGUUCCCCGCUAUAUUGGAUAUGAUAACAGGGACUAAGACAAGUCAUCAUGGCCUG